AGAGUUUGAUCCUGGCUCAGGAUGAACGCUGGCGGCGUGCUUAACACAUGCAAGUCGAACGGAGUUUUAACGGAAGUUUCGGAUGGAAGUUAAAACUAGUGGCGGACGGGUGAGUAACGCGUGGGUAACCUGCCUCAUACAGGGGGAUAACAGUUAGAAAUGACUGCUAACACCGCAUAAUAUAGCGAAACCGCAUGAUUUUGCUAUCAAAUAUUUAUAGGGUAUGGAGAUGGGCCCGCGUCUGAUUAGCUAGUUGGUGGGGUAAAAGCCUACCAAGGCGACGAUCAGUAGCCGGCUUGAGAGAGUGACCGGCCACAUUGGGACUGAGACACGGCCCAAACUCCUACGGGAGGCAGCAGUGGGGAAUAUUGGACAAUGGGGGAAACCCUGAUCCAGCGAACCGCCGCGUGAGUGAAGAAGUAUUUCGGUAUGUAAAGCUCUAUCAGCAGGGAAGAUAAUGACAGUACCUGACUAAGAAGCCCCGGCUAACUACGUGCCAGCCGCUGC
rnacentral:rRNA from 1 species